rnacentral:rRNA from 1 species
CUACGGGAGGCAGCAGGUAAGAAUAUUCCGCAAUGGGAGAAAUCCUGACGGAGCGACGCCGCGUGAAUGAAGAAGGCAGAAAUGUUGUAAAAUUCUUUUAUACGGGAAGAAUAAGGUGAGUAGUGGAAAGACUCAUCGAUGACGGUACCGUAUGAAUAAGCCCCGGCUAACUACGUGCCAGCAGCCGCGGUAAUACGUAGGGGGCUAGCGUUGUUCGGAUUUAUUGGGCGUAAAGGGCAUGUAGGCGGUUAUGCAAGUGUGGGUUUAAAGGCGCAGGCUCAACCUGUAGCAUGGUCUGCAAACUACAUAACUAGAGUUUGGGAUGGGAGACUGGAAUUCCGCGUGUAGGGGUGAAAUCUGUAGAGAUGCGGAAGAAUACCGGCGGCGAAGGCGAGUCUCUGGCCUAAAACUGACGCUGAGAUGCGAAAGUGUGGGGAGCAAACAGGAUUAGAUACCCUGGUAGUCCACACCGUAAACUUUGUACACUAGGUGUUAGUGGUUAACCUACUGGUGCCGUAGCUAACGCGAUAAGUGUACCGCCUGGGGAGUAUGCUCGCAAGGGUGAAACUCAAAUGAAUUGACGG